GGCUCAAUGGUCUAGUCGUAUGAUACGCGCUUCGGGAAUUUAUCCCCGUGAUCACCUGAUCACGUGCAAUGUGCGUGGCCCCGGGUUCAAAUCCCGGUUGAGCCC